AAAAAAGACGAAGAAAGAAAAGAGGAAGAAAACACAAUGAUGCCAGGCAAGUCAUCAAUCAUCAGUCCUCCCUCCCUAGCUCUUCUUUCUUUCUUUCUUUCUUUCUUUCU
rnacentral:ribozyme from 11 species